rnacentral:rRNA from 1 species
AGCGAACGCUGGCGGCAGGCCUAACACAUGCAAGUCGAGCGGCCGUAGCAAUACGGCAGCGGCAGACGGGAGAGUAACACGUGGGAACGCGCCCUUCGGUCUGGAAUAACCCAGGGAAACUUGGGCUAAUACCGGAUACGCCCUUACGGGGAAAGAUUUAUUGCCGAAGGAACGGCCCGCGUCCGAUUAGCUAGUUGGUGAGGUAACGGCUCACCAAGGCGACGAUCGGUAGCUGGUCUGAGAGGAUGACCGGCCUCACUGGGACUGAGACACGGCCCAGACUCCUACGGGAGGCAGCAGUGGGGAAUAUUGGACAAUGGGCGCAAGCCUGAUCCAGCCAUGCCGCGUGGGUGAUGAAGGCCCUAGGGUUGUAAAGCCCUUUCAGCGGGGAAGAUAAUGACGGUACCCGCAGAAGAAGCCCCGGCUAACUUCGUGCCAGCCGCCGCCGUAAGAC